AUUGAACGCUGGCGGCAGGCUUAACACAUGCAAGUCGAACGAUGACUCUCUAGCUUGCUAGAGAAGAUUAGUGGCGGACGGGUGAGCAACAUUUAGGAAUCUGCCUAGUAGUGGGGGAUAGCUCGGGGAAACUCGAAUUAAUACCGCAUACGACCUACGGGUGAAAGGGGGCGCAAGCUCUUGCUAUUAGAUGAGCCUAAAUCAGAUUAGCUAGUUGGUGGGGUAAAGGCCCACCAAGGCGACGAUCUGUAACUGGUCUGAGAGGAUGAUCAGUCACACCGGAACUGAGACACGGUCCGGACUCCUACGGGAGGCAGCAGUGGGGAAUAUUGGACAAUGGGGGCAACCCUGAUCCAGCCAUGCCGCGUGUGUGAAGAAGGCCUUUUGGUUGUAAAGCACUUUAAGCAGGGAGGAGAGGCUAAUGGUUAAUACCCAUUAGAUUAGACGUUACCUGCAGAAUAAGCACCGGCUAACUCUGUGCCAGCAGCCGCGGUAAUACAGAGGGUGCGAGCGUUAAUCGGAAUUACUGGGCGUAAAGCGAGUGUAGGUGGCUCAUUAAGUCACAUGUGAAAUCCCCGGGCUUAACCUGGGAACUGCAUGUGAUACUGGUGGUGCUAGAAUAUGUGAGAGGGAAGUAGAAUUCCAGGUGUAGCGGUGAAAUGCGUAGAGAUCUGGAGGAAUACCGAUGGCGAAGGCAGCUUCCUGGCAUAAUAUUGACACUGAGAUUCGAAAGCGUGGGUAGCAAACAGGAUUAGAUACCCUGGUAGUCCACGCCGUAAACGAUGUCUACUAGCCGUUGGGGUCCUUGAGACUUUAGUGGCGCAGUUAACGCGAUAAGUAGACCGCCUGGGGAGUACGGCCGCAAGGUUAAAACUCAAAUGAAUUGACGGGGGCCCGCACAAGCGGUGGAGCAUGUGGUUUAAUUCGAUGCAACGCGAAGAACCUUACCUGGUCUUGACAUAGUGAGAAUCCUGCAGAGAUGCGGGAGUGCCUUCGGGAAUUCACAUACAGGUGCUGCAUGGCUGUCGUCAGCUCGUGUCGUGAGAUGUUGGGUUAAGUCCCGCAACGAGCGCAACCCUUUUCCUUAUUUGCCAGCGGGUUAAGCCGGGAACUUUAAGGAUACUGCCAGUGACAAACUGGAGGAAGGCGGGGACGACGUCAAGUCAUCAUGGCCCUUACGACCAGGGCUACACACGUGCUACAAUGGUAGGUACAGAGGGUUGCUACACAGCGAUGUGAUGCUAAUCUCAAAAAGCCUAUCGUAGUCCGGAUUGGAGUCUGCAACUCGACUCCAUGAAGUCGGAAUCGCUAGUAAUCGCAGAUCAGAAUGCUGCGGUGAAUACGUUCCCGGGCCU
rnacentral:rRNA from 1 species